rnacentral:lncRNA from 1 species
GAUUCAUAGUCCUUACAUCAAAUUCAAUAAGACUUUCAACCGAAAAUAAAAGUAUAGAGAUUCUGCUUCUGAUCACUCUUCCAUUCAUAUCUUGUAUCAUCUUAAUUCCUCAACAUCUGUAAAAACAGUAAAAUAGGAGGUAAUGAGCUAGACAGUCUAGUAAGCAAUGAUCACUUUUCAAUAGAUUUCAUCAGGCAUUUAAGUAAAUAAUCAUUUAUAGAAAAUAAGCAUAUA